CCCAUGCCUCCGGUUUCAGAAAUUAGUUUGUUUAUUCUUCUAGCUUUGAGGAAUAGAUAGACAUAUCCCUCCAACGAGCCUUUGACAGAGGUGCCAAUCAGCACAGCCUGAAAGGGAACAAGGAGGGAUGGAAGACUCAGAGGGAGGAAAAGGAAACAUGGGAAAAAAAGGUUAUCGGGACAGGUAAAACUAUCUGUGGCUACAGAGGAGAAAACAACAAAUCGAACAACCCAGUCUCCUCCUAGCAGAGUACAGAGCCAAGAGAGAACAGAAAGAUGGGGGCCAGGGAAGAAGCCAGCAAGCUCCCAGAGGAUGCCACAAAAGCACCAUUCUCAGGAUGCCAAGACACAAGGCGCAGCCCCAGCUGUGAUGACAACUGGACAUGCCGG
rnacentral:lncRNA from 1 species